GUGAUGUCCGAGUGCUGCGAGUUUCAAUACUGUUUAUGUAGUCAUUGAGAGUUUAAACAAAGUUUCUUCUGAGAAGAGGAAUUCGAUGGAUGCAUUCAACGUGGACAACGAAAUCAUAAUUUCGUUUGCAUCAUCCUAAGGACCAGUGCAAGUUGAAAUGGGCUUCCAGCCAACAACUUCAACAGCAAUUUGCCAUGAAAAUCAGCAAGAAAGGUACUUCAUUUACAUUGAUGAUGUCAUAUCCCCUGGACCCCACAACUUUACAGGUUACAGAGAAAAUUCAAGAACUUCUGCAAAAUGUGGGACUUGGAUAGAAUCAAUAAUGUAUUUGUGAACCCAGAGCAAUGGAUAUAUUGUGCAACAUACUAAAGUGUGAAUUUAAUGGAAAACAAGUACAUGUACUCAUGUAUUACAUGCCCUUUUUAAAGACAAUAAUAUUGUAUAAAUAUAGAGGAGGUGUCAUUGUUGAUUAUUCUAAGUUUUUGAUAUAUCAAAAUCAGUAAACAUUUCUAAAUGAAAAUAAAAUACCAAUUUUAUAACUUUAAUCAAUGUGUUUGAAUUUCUCAUUUUCUAACCCCCCCCCCCCCCCCCACC